rnacentral:rRNA from 1 species
GACGAACGCUGGCGGCGUGCUUAACACAUGCAAGUCGAACGAUGACGACCGAGCUUGCUCGGUCUGAUUAGUGGCGAACGGGUGAGUAACACGUGAGCAACCUGCCCUUCACUCUGGGAUAACCUCGGGAAAUCGGGGCUAAUACCGGAUAUGAGCUCCUGUCGCAUUGCGGGUGCUGGAAAGUUUUUCGGUGAAGGAUGGGCUCGCGGCCUAUCAGUUUGUUGGUGGGGUAGUGGCUCACCAAGGCGGUGACGGGUAGCCGGCCUGAGAGGGCGACCGGCCACACUGGGACUGAGACACGGCCCAGACUCCUACGGGAGGCAGCAGUGGGGAAUAUUGCAUAAUGGGCGAAAGCCUGAUGCAGCGACGCCGCGUGAGGGAUGACGGCCUUCGGGUUGUAAACCUCUUUCAGCAGGGAAGAAGCGAAAGUGACGGUACCGGCAGAAGAAGCGCCGGCUAACUACGUG